UAAAUAGCCAGGCCGGCUCUCGCUGGUCGCCGGCUUCUUAGAGGGACUGUCAGCGUCUAGCUGACGGAAGUUUGAGGCAAUAACAGGUCUGUGAUGCCCUUAGAUGUUCUGG
rnacentral:rRNA from 1 species